rnacentral:rRNA from 1 species
CAAUAGCGUAUAUUAAAGUUGUUGCAGUUAAAAAGCUCGUAGUUGGAUUUCUGGUGGGAGCGAUCGGUCUGGCGCUUAGCGCGAGUACUUGCAUCGUCUCCGGCCAUCCUUGGGGAAAGUCUGUCAGGCAUUAAGUUGUCGGGCAGAGGAUCCUCAUCGUUUACUGUGAAAAAAUUAGAGUGUUCAAAGCAGGCUUAUGCCGUUGAAUAUAUUAGCAUGGAAUAAUAAGAUAGGACUUUGGUACUAUUUUGUUGGUUUGCGCACCAAAGUAAUGAUUAAUAGGGACAGUUGGGGGUAUUCGUAUUCCGUUGUCAGAGGUGAAAUUCUUGGAUUUACGGAAGACGAACUACUGCGAAAGCAUUUACCAAGGAUGUUUUCAUUAA